rnacentral:rRNA from 1 species
UACGUAGGGUGCGAGCGUUGUCCGGAAUUAUUGGGCGUAAAGGGCUCGUAGGCGGUUUGUCGCGUCGGGAGUGAAAACCAUGGGCUUAACUCAUGGCUUGCUUCCGAUACGGGCAGACUAGAGGCAUGCAGGGGAGAACGGAAUUCCUGGUGUAGCGGUGAAAUGCGCAGAUAUCUGGAGGAACACCGGUGGCGAAGGCGGCAUCCUGGACCGACACUGACGCUGAGGCGCGAAAGCUAGGGGAGCAAACGGG